AAAUAAAAUAAAAUUAAAAAAAAUUAAAAGAAGAAGAAGAGGAAGAAGCCAAAACAAAAUUCAGAGUAGUUAAUACUUGUUAAAUUCUCAUUCUCCUUUCUUUUUCCCUCUGGAAAUUGGAGCUGAGCAUCAGCUUUAGAGAGCUACGAAGCUUCCUUUAGCUGGCUCUCUAUCUCGAGAUGCGUCGCUCUGCAGCCAGGAAAACGGGUCAAUCCAAUUCCACGGCUCCGAUCACUUCUUCAGCUGCGGAUCUUUUUCGCUCCGCCUCAAGUAAAGCAUCUUCGAAAGAGAUGGAGCGAAUUGAUAACCUAUUUUAUUCCUAUGCAAAUAGGUCUUCUGGUAUGAUUGAUCCAGAAGGAAUUGAAACCCUAUGUUCAGACAUGGAGGUUGAUCAUACUGAUGUUAGGAUCUUGAUGCUAGCUUGGAAAAUGAAAGCUGAAAAACAGGGAUACUUUACGCUGGAGGAGUGGCGCAGAGGUCUUAAAGCGCUGAGAGCUGAUACUGUGAGUAAAUUAAAAAAGGCGCUUCCAGAGCUAGAGAAAGAGGUCAAGAGGCCGUCAAACUUUGUGGAUUUCUAUUCCUAUGCAUUCCGAUAUUGCCUGACAGAGGAGAAACAAAAGAGUAUUGACAUAGAGAGCAUCUGUCAGUUAGUGGAUCUUGUUUUAGGAUCUCACUUCCGUGCUCAAGUUGAUUAUUUCAUCGAGUAUUUAAAGAUUCAAAAUGAUUAUAAGGUCAUAAACAUGGAUCAGUGGAUGGGCUUUUAUCGUUUUUGCAAUGAGAUAAGUUUUCCAGAUCUUAGUAAUUACGAUCCAGAACUUGCUUGGCCAUUGAUCUUGGAUAAUUUUGUAGAAUGGAUGCGAGAAAAAAGGACUUAAAAAACCUACUGUCUGUGUCGACACGAUUCUCUACUGUAAACCAUCUUUUAUUAUUGAAGACUGUUCAAACCACAAGCAUGCAUUAAACUCUCCCAGCAACUUUUAAUUUUCACCUCUUUUUUAUUUUCUCUUUUGUUAAAAUUACUCAGAUUUUGAUUGUUUGGAAAAAAUUCGAAAUUUAUCUAAUUGUCACUGUUAAUGCAGCUUAUGUAAAUGAUGUUGAAAUUACUAAA